GUUUUAGUAAUUUAAACAAAAAUAUUGGUCUUGUAAACCAAUCUUAAGACUCACUUCUAAAACU
rnacentral:tRNA from 1 species